CAUCUUAAUAUUGUCUAGCAUAUCUCUCCAUUUGCUUUUCAGGUUACGGAACAUACGGUAUGGUUUCAAUACUAUCCUUGUGAUCCUGAUCUGGCGCAUUUUUAUUGCAAGAUCACAAAUGGCAAGAAACAUCUGGUACUUUGUAGUUAGCCUGUGUUACAAGUUUCUGUCAUAUUUUCGAGCAUCCAGUACUAUGAGAUACUGAAGACCAAGAAUUUAGCUUUAGAACAUCUAUGCAUAUGGUGGUCUAAAAAUGCACAAAAUGUAAAAUGUACUUAAAGUCAUCUCACUUUUUGUCAAACAUUAAACCAUCUUAGAUUGGAAUGUGGAGUAAAGUAUGGUACAUUUUAUGUAACAUUUAAUGUUUAUGCUCAUAAAACCUAGUGAACACACUGUGGUAUGCCAGCUCAAAUCUGUAAUAGCCACCAAAACCAUAACUAAACGUUUUGAUCCCUGGAAAGAAAGGGAUAGGGUGAGGGCAAGAGUAGGAAAUAGGAACCCUGACCAGUAUAACUGUGCAAUUUUUGGGACAUAUUAAUUAAAAUAUGCCUUAACAUAAUUUCUACUAUUUAGUGCAAUGGGUAGCAUUUAUUUGGAUAGGAAUACUAGCUAAGUUGGUAGAUGUCUGAUUCUUUAAUGUUCAAUUUUUUUUUUCAUCAAUUGAAGUGGGUUUGAGUCUUGUUAAGACUAUAACCAAACUAUUUUCACUUCAUCCUAUAAGUUAUUGAGUGAUAUCAAACAUGAAAACGUGUUCCAGUUUUCUUUUUCUGAUUAAAUGUCCAGUGCAUAUCAUUUUUCUAUAAGUAAUCAGUUGCUUUAUAAUGAGAAGGCUAUAUAUUAUUCUAAAAACCCGCUGGAUCUAAAUGGGUUUGAAAAUCCGUAUCAAUAUAUGCUGUGUGUUUUUAAAGGACAACAAAAACAAAUUCAUUGAAACUAUAUCAAAAAGAAUAGGAGUACUUUUUUCUUGUCCACAUUUCAGUCAAAUAAAAAUCAAUCCUGUGAGAUUGUGUUUAUAUAUUGAAGCAAGAGGAUUUUUUAGGACUUUAUUGGAGGUGGGUGUAGGGAAGGAUUCACCAUACUUGGGCUCUCCUUCCUUUAUACAUUAUAUCAUAGGACUUUUAAAAGGCUUGUACUGCUUUUCAAAUGAGAUCUGAAAGUGCAUUAUUAUGGAAGAAUGUAUUUGCAGCUAUUAAUAACAUCAAGAAAAUGUCCUUGUGUGUAAGUAAACACAUUAAUUUUGACCUUGAAAGCUGAAUUCCUUAAAGAAAAUAAUACAAAAUGUGUAUAAAAUUAAAUAAAGGACUUUAUUUACAUACCAUAUAAAGUAGCAAACUGUUGAAUGAGUUUGAAGAUAUCAUUUAUUUUUUCUGCAUGUGGUUUUAGCUUUAGAAAGAAAUGCAUUAUAGAACCAAGUAAUAGCAAGAAAAUUGAUGUAUAUUUUAAUGAUACAUUAUAAUUCCCUUUAAAUUGCAAUAGUAGUUUACUAUUUUAACAUAUAUUUGGUUUAACAGAUUGUUCAGCAUUAUACUGUUCUAAUUAAGCUGAUCAAGUUGUAUUAUAUUUAAAUCAUCAGCAAUGUAUCGUGAAUAUGUUUAAAGGGUUCAGUUCACAGUACAAAGUUACAUGUAACUUCUCAAUUUCCUUUGUCAAUUUAAAUGCAAUGUAUAAAAAGUUUAUUUUGAUAUUGUGGAAAAACUAAAUGUAAAAGAAAUCACCUUCUUCCAUGCAGGUGUAUAAUCUUGAAAAAGAAAAAUGCUUCCAUGUUGAAGCCAGAUUUUCUGUAGUAAAACUUUUAAACAUUAUUUUAAAAGAAAUAUGUAUGUAAAUAGCUAUAUAUUCUUUGGAAUGAUACUAAAGUCUUUGGUCAAGGACCAUACCUUGUAUAAGGUGUGAGAGACCAUGACAGUGUGAAAAUGGAAUAAAUAAUGAUGCCUUGGAUUUAAGGUGGCCCAUAUAUUUACAUUAAGUACUUCAUCUCUCCAAAUAUAUUUCCAUAACAUGUUGAAAACAUGCUAACAUUUGUACGACUUUUGUAAUUCUGCCAGAGAUACCUAGAAUCAGAUGAAUUUUCUUUGUGUCUUAACAAGAGGAUCAGGUGCAACUUGGGCAGGCCUGUGAAGUGCUUUGGGAGUAUUUUGUCUUCUGAACUGUUUUACUGUUCUUAUAAUUUAAGUUAAAUACGAAUUGGGAGGGUGCUGAGGCUACUGUAUUAAUUUUUGUGUUUAGAAUUGUGUCAAAAGAAGGGUAAUGGGUAAAUUAAGUAUGUCAUCCUAGGACUUAAAAUUCUAAAGUUAGUAUAAAGAGUGUAUAGAUUGUUAAUCCUCAUCAACUAGAUUUUGGAUUUAAGUCAGAUUCAAAGAUUUUGGAAAUCUGUUCUCUGUAUCGUUUCAUAGACAAGGUUUUUAGUUCUGUGUGUAUGUUUCUCACAAACUCAUUUAACAAGACAGUUUAUAAAAUAGAUUCAUUUCAUUUAGUUCAUUUGAUAAAACUGUAUUCUAAAACAUUUUAGAUAUUUCCCAUUUUUCACUCUUAAUUGGGACAUGUGUGUUAAAUUGUGAUGUCAUUAAGAGUUUAUUUAAUUUUGAUCUGGCAACACUAUAUGUCUUACAGCUCAGUGCAGAGAAACAUGGCAAUAUGUUGUUCUUUGACCUAAGGAUGGCAUAGAAUGAAGAUUCUUUGUAUUUGUAUAAUAAAGCUUGGAAGUGGGGGGGAAAACUCACUUCUCCCCUUUCUUUGUGUUUGUCUGCAGGAACUGAUUCAGGAUUUUUUGGUUUGUAUUUUUUGUUUUAAUUGUAAACAGAUAAUCUUUUAUAAGCAGUAAAUAGAAGCAUUAUUGGGUGCCUUUGUUUGUAAACCAAAAAGUAAUAAAUGAAUCCCUCUAUUUCCAUUAUAGUUUUUAUUGUAUUUUUAUGUUCUGAAAAUUAUAUGAGAUAAUGUGGUUAGGAUUACAGGAAGCAGUUCUUAACGCCCCUUGUCUUCUUUAGGUGUCCUUAUUAAUUCUUAUAUCCCAAUAUUAUUUAAGUCUGAGUUGCUCACACAGUAUUUUAGGGAAAUAAUAUAUGCCAAGUGAAUGCUUUUUUGUUAAAGUAUUAUUUUUGUGAAUUAGCUAGAAUGAGCUUGUUUUUCUAAAAACAGAACCAGGAGACCACCAGGGUGUCAUUAGACUCCAGCUACUUUGUUUCAUAUUGAAUCCUGUUAGUUUGGGUACAUUAGUAAUUUAUCUGACUCCAUAUAAGGAAUUACUCAUUAGUGAUACAGAUUGAACCUUUUGGGGGUGAGAAGGGCAGAGUAUAUCAGGCUGAGGUACAGCUGAAUGUACAUUGGCCUUCUAAGCAUGUGCUUGUAGGCUGACUCCCAACCGUGACUUGAAACCAUUCUCAUUAAUUUGCUCUGCUUUGAGGAAAACUUUCUCUUUGCAAGAGAAAGGAACACAUGCUGUGAAAUUUGAUCCAUAAAUGAGUUUAAAUUAACAUCAUGUGAUAGAAGAUAUAUGAAAUAUUUUUUAAUUAAUAUUUUUGUCUUGAAGCAAUUUUCCAGUGAUAGAAUGAAUUUGUCUUAGCAUCUCUGCUACCCCUAAGAUUCCUAAACAAAUCAUCUUUUUGUCAAUUGAAUACCAUUGUGCAAAAUUGUCAAAUAAUUCUUUUGAUUUUUUUUUAUUAAAGAAAAACUUGAGUAACAUUAAGUUUGUGCUCUUUUGCUAGUUGAUGACUAAAAGCAUUUACUUAGAAAAACUGAAAGUGGUGUGAGUUUAAUGUCUUCAUUGUGGGCCAUAACUCAGAGGAAUAAGGCUAUAAUUGUUAUGUGUUUAGCUAGUGAUCACAGACUAUCUCUAAGACUUGUAAUUUUAUACAAAGGGAAGAGAGUUAUUUAAAUUUUUUUUUCAAAUUCAUUAAUCUAUAUAAUUAUUCCUAUUUAUUCUCUUCAAAAUACUAAAUCUUUUCAUGUUAAAGCUCCAUGAAGUUGAAUUAGAUGUCUUCCAAAGAUUCUUUGGAGGCCGACUUUAUUUUCUGUUGUUGAGUGGGAAAUCUAAUUCUCAUUUUCUCUUGCAAAAAUCUGUAGAGCAACAUGAAACUAGAAAAGUGCUGGGUUGAACCAUAUAAAAAUGGUAAUAUGUCUUUGACCUGUGAGGGUAAUUUCAUAUGACUCAACCUAGUAUUAUAGCCUUCUUUUUUUUUUACUUUUAACACUUCUGAAUGGAAACAUAGUUGAGCGUAGUUUUAUUUAAAAAUAGUCAUGUAAGAAGAUUGUAUAUUUCUUUUAUCAGUAAUUAAUUGUUUGACUUUUAAUGCCUAAUCUGCUUUUUUUCCACACAGGUUCUUAACCUGGUCCUCACUUUCUUGAGGGCAGAACCACCAGCCUUGCACCUUUUACAUUCUAAAACACUAGCUAAUAUUUGUUUAGUGUUUACUGUGAUAGUGAGUACUCUAAGCAUUUAAUUCUGUAAGUAUUAACUCAUUUAUACCUUACAACAGCCCUCUGUUGAAGGCAUCUCUAUUACUCAUGUUUUAUAAGUGUAAUAGCUAAGGCAUAUGACUUUAAUCAUUCGUCCACAUUAUCCUUCUAGUAGCAGAGCCAAGACUCUAUUUGUCUAGCUUCAACCUAUACUGUUAUUCAGUACAGCUAUAGUUGGUCUUUGAUACCUGCAUCCACAGAUUAACCAACCAGUUUGAAAAUCUUUUUUUAAAAAAAUUUCAUCUGUACUGAAUAGAUACAGAACUUUUCUUUGUCAUUAUUGCCUAAACAAUAUAGUAUAACUAUGGGAUAUGCAUUGUUAUGCAUUUGCCAUACAUGUAGUCAAUGACUGAAAUGUGAGUUGUGACUGUAUUUACAUAGUACUUACAUUGUCUUAGGUACUAUUAAUAAUUUACAGAUGAUUUACAGUAUGAUGACCAACGUGGGAAGAUUAGGUACAAAUACUAUGCCAUUUUAUAUGAGGAACUUGAGCAUCUAAAGAUUUUGGAACCCAUGGGAAUCCUGGAACUAAUCACUAUAGGAAUACAAAUAUUUCUGGACUAUUUAGAGAAGUUCUUUAACAUGUUGUACUUUUUUUUUUUUUUUUAGAAAAACUCAGCAAUCACCAGCUAAACAAAUAACAAAUACAGACUAAGACCUAGGAAUUAUGGCCCACAAUGAAGACAUCAAAAUCACAAAACUGUAAGCUUCUCAAUGGCCAGAGAAUAUAUAUACACUACCUUUACUUUAGAAUUUCUUUUUAUUUGAUAUGAACAGAUAAUUUAAACAAACACACACAAUCAUAAACAAACAAAAGAGCACAAAGGAAUGAUUUACUGAAUAUUACGCAAAACAGCCCAUAAAAAAAAAAAAACAAAAGAAUUAUGUGACAAGUCUGCACAAUGGAAUGUUGUCAUAUGGAAGCAUCCAGAGAGAGGGAAGAAUAUGUACAGAGCCUGAGAAGUGUGUGGGACAGGGAAUCCUUUUUAGUGCUUUCAAGUGACAAAAAAAGGAUGANAGCAUUAUUGGGUGCCUUUGUUUGUAAACCAAAAAGUAAUAAAUGAAUCCCUCUAUUUCCAUUAUAGUUUUUAUUGUAUUUUUAUGUUCUGAAAAUUAUAUGAGAUAAUGUGGUUAGGAUUACAGGAAGCAGUUCUUAACGCCCCUUGUCUUCUUUAGGUGUCCUUAUUAAUUCUUAUAUCCCAAUAUUAUUUAAGUCUGAGUUGCUCACACAGUAUUUUAGGGAAAUAAUAUAUGCCAAGUGAAUGCUUUUUUGUUAAAGUAUUAUUUUUGUGAAUUAGCUAGAAUGAGCUUGUUUUUCUAAAAACAGAACCAGGAGACCACCAGGGUGUCAUUAGACUCCAGCUACUUUGUUUCAUAUUGAAUCCUGUUAGUUUGGGUACAUUAGUAAUUUAUCUGACUCCAUAUAAGGAAUUACUCAUUAGUGAUACAGAUUGAACCUUUUGGGGGUGAGAAGGGCAGAGUAUAUCAGGCUGAGGUACAGCUGAAUGUACAUUGGCCUUCUAAGCAUGUGCUUGUAGGCUGACUCCCAACCGUGACUUGAAACCAUUCUCAUUAAUUUGCUCUGCUUUGAGGAAAACUUUCUCUUUGCAAGAGAAAGGAACACAUGCUGUGAAAUUUGAUCCAUAAAUGAGUUUAAAUUAACAUCAUGUGAUAGAAGAUAUAUGAAAUAUUUUUUAAUUAAUAUUUUUGUCUUGAAGCAAUUUUCCAGUGAUAGAAUGAAUUUGUCUUAGCAUCUCUGCUACCCCUAAGAUUCCUAAACAAAUCAUCUUUUUGUCAAUUGAAUACCAUUG
rnacentral:lncRNA from 1 species